rnacentral:lncRNA from 1 species
CGAAGGCUAGGGAUUAGGGUUUCUAUUUCUGAAAAGUUCUUUUAGGCCACUGGUAAUUUGGGCCUCGGGGUUAUUGGGUUAGGGUUUGUAUAUUUGGGCCGUAUGGACUGUUGUAAUGAACUUUUGAUUUUUUUUUGUUUUAUUUAUUUUAUUUGAUUUUUGUUUGGGCCAAGGAUAAAUUGGGCCUCUACACCUUUACUCCAACAACUUUAACUUAGAAAACAAUUUAGUAGUUUAAUCAUCAAUUCUCAGUUUGAAAUUCACAUUAAAAAUAAAAAAAACUAUUAUUAUAGCUAAGUAAGGUUUGGACAAGACAAAUAUGAAACCAAGUAAAAAAAUACCUUCCAUCCUAUAACAUUCGAGUUCAAUAUUACAAUCAUAAAAAAAUAUUCAAAAAAUAAACAAAAUAAAAGCGAAAGCAAUAUCAGCAGCAUUGCCCCAAACUCUCCCUCCACCAGCCAUCAUUCAUCAUCUCCCUUUUUUUGAUCAAAA